rnacentral:misc_RNA from 1 species
AAAAACACAAUUUGAAGUGUUUCAGUGCUAAAUUAAUUUGCCUCUAACGAUAAUGUUCGCUAAACAAUUCACUGAAUACCUUUAUUUGCUUAAUCACCUAAUAUAUCGACUCUCGAUGCGUUCUAGGUAAACUAGGUUUUAGUGUCACUAAUAUGUCACAUUCGAUAGUAUUUUAGGGUUGGUACGUUUUACCAAACUCAUUUCCUUGUUUAGUGCAUUUUAAUGCAACUUGCUGGAUUCCGGUAUACUAGUUUGACCAAGCCGAACGACCUAGUUCCCUCGGUUUUCG